rnacentral:rRNA from 1 species
AGUGAACGCUGGCGGUAGGCCUAACACAUGCAAGUCGAACGGCAGCACAGAGGAGCUUGCUCCUUGGGUGGCGAGUGGCGGACGGGUGAGGAAUACAUCGGAAUCUACUCUGUCGUGGGGGAUAACGUAGGGAAACUUACGCUAAUACCGCAUACGACCUACGGGUGAAAGCAGGGGACCUUCGGGCCUUGCGCGAUUGAAUGAGCCGAUGUCGGAUUAGCUAGUUGGCGGGGUAACGGCCCACCAAGGCGACGAUCCGUAGCUGGUCUGAGAGGAUGAUCAUCCACACUGGAACUGAGACACGGGCCAGACUCCUACGGGAGGCAGCAGUGGGGAAUAUUGGACAAUGGGCGCAAGCCUGAUCCAGCCAUACCGCGUGGGUGAAGAAGGCCUUCGGGUUGUAAAGCCCUUUUGUUGGGAAAGAAAUCCAGCUGGCUAAUACCCGGUUGGGAUGACGGUACCCAAAGAAUAAGCACCGGCUAACUUCGUGCCAGCCGCCGCCGUAA